rnacentral:rRNA from 1 species
UACAGAGGGUGCGAGCGUUGUUCGGAAUUAUUGGGCGUAAAGGGCGCGUAGGCGGUGCGGUAAGUCACCUGUGAAAUCUCCUGGCUCAACUGGGAGCUUGCAGGCGAAACUGCCGUGCUGGAGUGUGGGAGAGGUGCGUGGAACUCCCGGUGUAGCGGUGAAAUGCGUAGAUAUCGGGAGGAACACCUGUGGCGAAAGCGGCGCACUGGACCACAACUGACGCUGAGGCGCGAAAGCUAGGGGAGCAAACAGG